rnacentral:siRNA from 1 species
UCCAUCCACCUACCCCUUCUAUG